GGUAAAAACGUCAUAUCUCUCAAACCACUUGGAGUUUUUGACUCUACUUUUUUUUUAUAUGAAACUAGACUCGAAGAUCUUUCUUUUGGUAUGAGUCUCGAGUCCAGUAGAUUUCGGGGUCAGAACAGAUUAAAUUUUGAAGUUGAGUCAGUGUAAAAACAGAGCAUGUUUUGAUGAUGUUUGUUUGUGAUUCUUAUGUGCCUUAUGUGUUUGUGUUGCCUAUGUGUUUCAAUGAGAUUAGACGAGGUAUGUUAGUUUUUGAAUGUCUUUAAUGGAACGAAUUAUGGAUGCUAGAACCCUAAAAUACUAAAAGAUACCCUAAGCACGUAGAAUUAGACUUUGUCUUGUGACAAUUUUCUUCACGAACUUACCGACUCUUCUUCAAUAAAGGUCCGGGCGACAGGAAGUGAAGCCGAAGAAGAAGCGAUUCCACGCUAGCUUAAGAACAUUUGAGGUUGAGCACGCGAUGGAAUGGAUUGGUGUUGAGCGGAUUUCCCUUUUGAUGGUUAUGUAAUGAAACCUUGAGUAUGCAUCUCCAUAUGUAUAACUCACACGUUUUUCCGCUGCAAACACUCUGAAAUUAUUAUCGUAUUGUGGAACUUAUUACUCUUUCAUUUUGAUUAACUUUCA